GAACAUCUUUAUAAGAGCAGUAGUUUCUCUUAUUUUAAAAUGUGGAAACUGCGGCAAAGUUGCAAGUCACAUUCUCAAAACCAUAAUAGGUAUUGGUGUGACUUCCUGAGACAUAAUUGUGGAGGUCUCUGUUAAAAACCUUGUAUUUCAAUAACAUGCCACGGGGUCUCUUGCCUAAGUCUUGCAGCCACCCUGGUUCUAUUUUUCAGGCUGAUGGAAACUGUAUUGGACAUGGAGCUUUCAGUAGGAAGGAUCAACCCAUUGCCUGUAUCAUCCCCACUUAAGGUAAGUUGUGUGGGGAAAGAGCCUAGGAAUGGAAACCCAUAGACAUGGCUCCCAGUCAUGGAAGUCACUUUUAGCCAGUGGCCACCUGAAUGCAUGAUUUUAGGCUAGUUUAUUAUCUUCUCUGGGACUUACAUUUCCGAUCUGCUAAUGAGGAAGCUGACUUGAUACAUGUCCCUUGUCACUCAUCUCUAAGGAGUUUGGGGAGUCUUUGAUUGGGGGUGGAGGGUCAGGCAGUCCCUGUCUUCCAUCCAGAAGAAAUGAGUUUACUUCCCUUCCAGGAGAUCUCAGCAUCUGGCAGAUGCUAAGGCUGGGAUUCCUUUUGCAGUUGUGUGCCUAGCAUGCAUUAGGAACAGUCUAUCCCUAGGUUUCUCCAAUUUCUGCCCCCAUUGCUUUACCUCUCUUCUUUCCUGCCUUCACCCUUUGUAGCCACCAUAUAGUUUCCAGAAGCUGCUUUUGCACAUGUGCAGCCUGGCACAGGGCCAUGCCCACAGAAGUGCUCAUGCAAUAUCAGCUUGCAGUGUGCUCAUCUAUCCCAUUUUUACAACUUUAAUCUAUUAUUAUCAACUCUAUCAACACCUGGGCAAGUUUUCUUCCUUAAAAUCCAGGCAGAUGUUAACCUUCUAA
rnacentral:lncRNA from 1 species